rnacentral:rRNA from 1 species
GGUGGUGCAUGGUUGUCGUCAGCUCGUGUCGUGAGAUGUUGGGUUAAGUCCCGCAACGAGCGCAACCCUUAUUGUUAGUUGUACCAUUUAGUUGAGCACUCUAGCGAGACUGCCCGGGUAACCGGGAGGAAGGUGGGGAUGACGUAAAUCAUCAUGCCCCUUAUGUCUAGGGCUACACACGUGCACAAUGGUCGGUACAAUGAGAUGCAACCUCGCGAGAGUGAGCAAAACUAUAAAACCGAUCUCAGUUCGGAUUGUAGGCUGAAACUCGCCUACAUGAAGCUGGAGUUGCUAGUAAUCGCGAAUCAGAAUGUCGCGGUGAAUACGUUCCCGGGCCUUGUACAC